rnacentral:rRNA from 1 species
GCAGUCGCCGCGGUAAUACAGAGGGUGCGAGCGUUAAUCGGAUUUACUGGGCGUAAAGCGUGCGUAGGCGGCUUUUUAAGUCGGAUGUGAAAUCCCUGAGCUUAACUUAGGAAUUGCAUUCGAUACUGGGAAGCUAGAGUAUGGGAGAGGAUGGUAGAAUUCCAGGUGUAGCGGUGAAAUGCGUAGAGAUCUGGAGGAAUACCGAUGGCGAAGGCAGCCAUCUGGCCUAAUACUGACGCUGAGGUACGAAAGCAUGGGGAGCAAACAGGAUUAGAUACCCGCGUAGUCCCUGUCUCUUAUAC